AACGAACGCUGGCGGCAUGCCUAACACAUGCAAGUCGAACGAGACCUUCGGGUCUAGUGGCGCACGGGUGCGUAACGCGUGGGAAUCUGCCCUUGGGUUCGGAAUAACAGUUGGAAACGACUGCUAAUACCGGAUGAUGACGUAAGUCCAAAGAUUUAUCGCCCAGGGAUGAGCCCGCGUAGGAUUAGCUAGUUGGUGGGGUAAAGGCCUACCAAGGCGACGAUCCUUAGCUGGUCUGAGAGGAUGAUCAGCCACACUGGGACUGAGACACGGCCCAGACUCCUACGGGAGGCAGCAGUGGGGAAUAUUAGGCGCUGGGCGAAAGCCUGAUCCAGCAAUGCCGCGUGAGUGAUGAAGGCCUUAGGGUUGUAAAACUCUUUUACCCGGGAUGAUAAUGACAGUACCGGGAGAAUAAGCCCCGGCUAACUCCGUG
rnacentral:rRNA from 1 species